rnacentral:rRNA from 1 species
GACGAACGCUGGCGGCGCGCCUAACACAUGCAAGUCGAACGGAGUUAUUUUGGUUGAAGUUUUCGGAUGGAUACCGAUUUAACUUAGUGGCGAACGGGUGAGUAACGCGUGAGUAACCUGCCCUGGAGUGGGGGACAACAGUUGGAAACGACUGCUAAUACCGCAUAAGCCCACGGCCCGGCAUCGGGCAGCGGGAAAAGGAUUUUUUCCCUUCAGGAUGGACUCGCGUCAAUUAGCUAGUUGGUGAGGUAACGGCCCCCAAGGCAACAAUUGGUAC